CACGUAGGCACCAAGCGUUGUCCGGAUUUAUUGGGCGUAAAGAGCUCGUAGGCGGUUCGGUAAGUCGGGUGUGAAAACUCUGGGCUCAACCCAGAGCCGCCACCCGAUACUGCUGUGACUUGAGUUCGGUAGGGGAGCGGGGAAUUCCUGGUGUAGCGGUGAAAUGCGUAGAGAUGUGGAGGAAUACCGAUGGCGAAGGCAGCCCCCUGGGAUAACACUGACGCUCAUGCACGAAAGCGUGGGGAGCAAACAGG
rnacentral:rRNA from 1 species